rnacentral:rRNA from 1 species
CGGUGAGUGAAGAAGGCCUUCGGGUUGUAAAGCUCUUUUGUCAGGGAAGAAACACCGGCUCUAACACAGUCCGGGAAUGACGGUACCUGAAGAAUAAGCACCGGCUAACUACGUGCCAGCAGCCGCGGUAAUACGUAGGGUGCGAGCGUUAAUCGGAAUUACUGGGCGUAAAGCGUGCGCAGGCGGUUAUACAAGACAGGCGUGAAAUCCCCGGGCUUAACCUGGGAAUGGCGCCUGUGACUGUAUAGCUAGAGUGUGUCAGAGGGGGGUAGAAUUCCACGUGUAGCAGUGAGAUGCGUAGAUAUGUGGAGGAAUACCAAUGGCGAAGGCAGCCCCCUGGGAUGACACUGACGCUCAUGCACGAAAGCGUGGGGAGCAAACAGGAUUAGAUACCCUGGUAGUCCACGCCCUAAACGAUGCUGACUAGUUGUUCGGGAUUUACAUCCUGAGUAACGUAGCUAACGCGUGAAGUCAGCCGCCUGGGGAGUACGGUCGCAAGAUUAAAACUCAAAGGAAUUGACGGGGACCCGCACAAGCGGUGGAUGAUGUGGAUUA